rnacentral:lncRNA from 1 species
AAUCCUGAGAAUAAGAAAGUUCUUGUCCCUGGCUCUGUCUCUUCUACUCAGCAAAAUGUGUAUCAUAAAAUAACUGCAAACACUCAUGGAAGUGAUCCAAGUCUCCACAAACUCUAAGCAUGGAUUUGCUCUAAUUUGAAUCUUCAAUCAAGAUAGUCUCAAAUCUCUGUCCCGAGAGUCAGCUUUGGGUCUCUCUGGUUAUCCUGUGUACCACUGGCUUGCAGUGGAAUCCACUGUAGUCCUGGUUCCACAGACCUCUUAGCCCCAGAGUCUCCUACUGACUGUCUUGUAGAUCAAGAGGGUGAAUCCAAUUGUCUCCACCAGGUGUAUCCACUGGCCUGCCCUGAAUCAGGACAGAAGAGAGGGGUUGGCUCUGAGGCAGUGCCCAAGUUUCGGUGAGUGAGGGUGCUGUUUGUGACUUAAUAAUUGCCUAUACCCUGACCCUUGACUUGGGGGCCCACAAAAGGCUACUUUCUUCUAUGUGCACAUCCAAAAUCCAGUUACCACGGAUGUAAAAGGACAAGGCAAAACUUGGAUGCAUGCUGCUACAAAAUAUUUGUUUUUUAUUUGUAUAGGCCCCUAUCAUGUUUCAGAAAGAGAUCUGAAGUAGCCUAUUAGUUGUCAUUAGAAUGAUGAUGAUUAAUGAUUAUAAUAACAA